rnacentral:rRNA from 1 species
AGUGAACGCUGGCGGUAGGCCUAACACAUGCAAGUCGAACGGCAGCACAGUAAGAGCUUGCUCUUACGGGUGGCGAGUGGCGGACGGGUGAGGAAUACAUCGGAAUCUACUUUUUCGUGGGGGAUAACGUAGGGAAACUUACGCUAAUACCGCAUACGACCUACGGGUGAAAGCAGGGGAUCUUCGGACCUUGCGCGAUUGAAUGAGCCGAUGUCGGAUUAGCUAGUUUGCGGGGAAAAGGCCCACCAAGGCGACGAUCCGUAGGUGGUCUGGGGGGAGGAACAGCCACACGGGAAUGAAGAAACGGCCCAAGCCCCCAAGGGAGGCAGAAGGGGGGAAUUUUGGAAAGGGGGCGGAAGCCUAGCCCAGCAAUACCCAGGGGGUGAAGAAGGCCUUCGGGUUGUAAAGCCAUUUUGUUGGGAAAGAAAAGAAGCAGGUUAAUACCCCGCUGUUUGAACGGUACCAAAAAAAUAACCACCGGCUAAUUUCGG